CCUACGGGAGGCAGCAGUAGGGAAUCUUCCACAAUGGACGAAAGUCUGAUGGAGCAACGCCGCGUGAGUGAUGAAGGGUUUCGGCUCGUAAAGCUCUGUUGGUAGGGAAGAACGUUAGAGGUAGUAACUGGCCUUUACUUGACGGUAAUUACUUAGAAAGUCACGGCUAACUACGUGCCAGCAGCCGCGGUAAUACGUAGGUGGCAAGCGUUGUCCGGAUUUAUUGGGCGUAAAGCGCGUGCAGGCGGUUUAAUAAGUCUGAUGUGAAAGCCCUCGGCUCAACCGGAGAAGUACAUCAGAAACUGUAAAACUUGAGUGCAGAAGAGGAGAGUGGAACUCCAUGUGUAGCGGUGGAAUGCGUAGAUAUAUGGAAGAACACCAGUGGCGAAGGCGGCUCUCUGGUCUGCAACUGACGCUGAGGCGCGAAAGCAUGGGUAGCGAACAGGAUUAGAUACCCCUGUAGUC
rnacentral:rRNA from 1 species